rnacentral:rRNA from 1 species
AUUGAACGCUGGCGGUAGGCCUAACACAUGCCAGUCGAACGGCAGCACAGUAAGAGCUUGCUCUUACGGGUGGCGAGUGGCGGACGGGUGAGGAAUACAUCGGAAUCUACUUUUUCGUGGGGGAUAACGUAGGGAAACUUACGCUAAUACCGCAUACGACCUACGGGUGAAAGCAGGGGAUCUUCGGACCUUGCGCGAUUGAAUGAGCCGAUGUCGGAUUAGCUAGUUGGCGGGGUAAAGGCCCACCAAGGCGACGAUCCGUAGCUGGUCUGAGAGGAUGAUCAGCCACACUGGAACUGAGACACGGUCCAGACUCCUACGGGAGGCAGCAGUGGGGAAUAUUGGACAAUGGGCGCAAGCCUGAUCCAGCCAUACCGCGUGGGUGAAGAAGGCCUUCGGGUUGUAAAGCCCUUUUGUUGGGAAAGAAAAGCAGCAGGUUAAUACCCCGCUGUUCCGACGGUACCCAAAGAAUAAGCACCGGCUAACUUCGUG